UUAAGCGACUAAGCGUACACGGUGGAUGCCCUGGCAGUCAGAGGCGAUGAAGGACGUGCUAAUCUGCGAUAAGCGUCGGUGAGGUGAUAUGAACCGUUAUAACCGGCGAUUUCCGAAUGGGGAAACCCAGUGUGUUUCGACACACUAUCAUUAACUGAAUCCAUAGGUUAAUGAGGCGAACCGGGGGAACUGAAACAUCUAAGUACCCCGAGGAAAAGAAAUCAACCGAGAUUCCCCCAGUAGCGGCGAGCGAACGGGGAGGAGCCCAGAGCCUGAAUCAGUGUGUGUGUUAGUGGAAGCGUCUGGAAAGGCGCGCGAUACAGGGUGACAGCCCCGUACACAAAAAUGCACAUAUUGUGAGCUCGAUGAGUAGGGCGGGACACGUGGUAUCCUGUCUGAAUAUGGGGGGACCAUCCUCCAAGGCUAAAUACUCCUGACUGACCGAUAGUGAACCAGUACCGUGAGGGAAAGGCGAAAAGAACCCCGGCGAGGGGAGUGAAAAAGAACCUGAAACCGUGUACGUACAAGCAGUGGGAGCCUCUUAAUGGGGUGACUGCGUACCUUUUGUAUAAUGGGUCAGCGACUUAUAUUCUGUAGCAAGGUUAACCGAAUAGGGGAGCCGAAGGGAAACCGAGUCUUAACUGGGCGUUAAGUUGCAGGGUAUAGACCCGAAACCCGGUGAUCUAGCCAUGGGCAGGUUGAAGGUUGGGUAACACUAACUGGAGGACCGAACCGACUAAUGUUGAAAAAUUAGCGGAUGACUUGUGGCUGGGGGUGAAAGGCCAAUCAAACCGGGAGAUAGCUGGUUCUCCCCGAAAGCUAUUUAGGUAGCGCCUCGUGAAUUCAUCUCCGGGGGUAGAGCACUGUUUCGGCAAGGGGGUCAUCCCGACUUACCAACCCGAUGCAAACUGCGAAUACCGGAGAAUGUUAUCACGGGAGACACACGGCGGGUGCUAACGUCCGUCGUGAAGAGGGAAACAACCCAGACCGCCAGCUAAGGUCCCAAAGUCAUGGUUAAGUGGGAAACGAUGUGGGAAGGCCCAGACAGCCAGGAUGUUGGCUUAGAAGCAGCCAUCAUUUAAAGAAAGCGUAAUAGCUCACUGGUCGAGUCGGCCUGCGCGGAAGAUGUAACGGGGCUAAACCAUGCACCGAAGCUGCGGCAGCGACACUAUGUGUUGUUGGGUAGGGGAGCGUUCUGUAAGCCUGUGAAGGUGGCCUGUGAGGGUUGCUGGAGGUAUCAGAAGUGCGAAUGCUGACAUAAGUAACGAUAAAGCGGGUGAAAAGCCCGCUCGCCGGAAGACCAAGGGUUCCUGUCCAACGUUAAUCGGGGCAGGGUGAGUCGACCCCUAAGGCGAGGCCGAAAGGCGUAGUCGAUGGGAAACAGGUUAAUAUUCCUGUACUUGGUGUUACUGCGAAGGGGGGACGGAGAAGGCUAUGUUGGCCGGGCGACGGUUGUCCCGGUUUAAGCGUGUAGGCUGGUUUUCCAGGCAAAUCCGGAAAACCAAGGCUGAGGCGUGAUGACGAGGCACUACGGUGCUGAAGUGACAAAUGCCCUGCUUCCAGGAAAAGCCUCUAAGCAUCAGGUAACAUCAAAUCGUACCCCAAACCGACACAGGUGGUCAGGUAGAGAAUACCAAGGCGCUUGAGAGAACUCGGGUGAAGGAACUAGGCAAAAUGGUGCCGUAACUUCGGGAGAAGGCACGCUGAUAUGUAGGUGAAGCGACUUGCUCGUGGAGCUGAAAUCAGUCGAAGAUACCAGCUGGCUGCAACUGUUUAUUAAAAACACAGCACUGUGCAAACACGAAAGUGGACGUAUACGGUGUGACGCCUGCCCGGUGCCGGAAGGUUAAUUGAUGGGGUUAGCGGUAACGCGAAGCUCUUGAUCGAAGCCCCGGUAAACGGCGGCCGUAACUAUAACGGUCCUAAGGUAGCGAAAUUCCUUGUCGGGUAAGUUCCGACCUGCACGAAUGGCGUAAUGAUGGCCAGGCUGUCUCCACCCGAGACUCAGUGAAAUUGAACUCGCUGUGAAGAUGCAGUGUACCCGCGGCAAGACGGAAAGACCCCGUGAACCUUUACUAUAGCUUGACACUGAACAUUGAGCCUUGAUGUGUAGGAUAGGUGGGAGGCUUUGAAGUGUGGACGCCAGUCUGCAUGGAGCCGACCUUGAAAUACCACCCUUUAAUGUUUGAUGUUCUAACGUUGGCCCGUAAUCCGGGUUGCGGACAGUGUCUGGUGGGUAGUUUGACUGGGGCGGUCUCCUCCUAAAGAGUAACGGAGGAGCACGAAGGUUGGCUAAUCCUGGUCGGACAUCAGGAGGUUAGUGCAAUGGCAUAAGCCAGCUUGACUGCGAGCGUGACGGCGCGAGCAGGUGCGAAAGCAGGUCAUAGUGAUCCGGUGGUUCUGAAUGGAAGGGCCAUCGCUCAACGGAUAAAAGGUACUCCGGGGAUAACAGGCUGAUACCGCCCAAGAGUUCAUAUCGACGGCGGUGUUUGGCACCUCGAUGUCGGCUCAUCACAUCCUGGGGCUGAAGUAGGUCCCAAGGGUAUGGCUGUUCGCCAUUUAAAGUGGUACGCGAGCUGGGUUUAGAACGUCGUGAGACAGUUCGGUCCCUAUCUGCCGUGGGCGCUGGAGAACUGAGGGGGGCUGCUCCUAGUACGAGAGGACCGGAGUGGACGCAUCACUGGUGUUCGGGUUGUCAUGCCAAUGGCACUGCCCGGUAGCUAAAUGCGGAAGAGAUAAGUGCUGAAAGCAUCUAAGCACGAAACUUGCCCCGAGAUGAGUUCUCCCUGAGACUUAGAGUCUCCUGAAGGAACGUUGAAGACGACGACGUUGAUAGGCCGGGUGUGUAAGCGCAGCGAUGCGUUGAGCUAACCGGUACUAAUGAACCGUGAGGCUUAACCUU
rnacentral:rRNA from 1 species